CUUAACACAUGCAAGUCGAGCGGAAACGAGAAUAGCUUGCUAUUCGGCGUCGAGCGGCGGACGGGUGAGUAAUGCUUGGGAAUAUGCCUUUGAGUGGGGGACAACAGUUGGAAACGACUGCUAAUACCGCAUAACGUCUACGGACCAAAGGGGGGGAUGCUUCGGCACCUCUCGCUCAUAGAUUAGCCCAAGUGAGAUUAGCUAGUUGGUACGGUAAUGGCGUACCAAGGCGACGAUCUCUAGCUGGUUUGAGAGGAUGAUCAGCCACACUGGGACUGAGACACGGCCCAGACUCCUACGGGAGGCAGCAGUGGGGAAUAUUGCACAAUGGGGGAAACCCUGAUGCAGCCAUGCCGCGUGUGUGAAGAAGGCCUUCGGGUUGUAAAGCACUUUCAGUUGUGAGGAAAGGUGUAAGUUUAAUAAACUUGCACUGUGACGUUAGCAACAGAAGAAGCACCGGCUAACUCCGUGCCAGCAGCCGCGGUAAUACGGAGGGUGCGAGCGUUAAUCGGAAUUACUGGGCGUAAAGCGUGCGUAGGCGGUUAAUUAAGUCAGAUGUGAAAUCCCGGAGCUCAACUUCGGAACUGCAUUUGAAACUGGUUAACUAGAAUACUGUAGAGGGUGGUGGAAUUUCCAGUGUAGCGGUGAAAUGCGUAGAGAUUGGAAGGAACAUCAGUGGCGAAGGUGGCCACCUGGACAGAUAUUGACGCUGAGGCACGAAAGCGUGGGGAGCGAACAGGAUUAGAUACCCUGGUAGUCCACGCCGUAAACGAUGUCAACUAGCCGUUUGUGGGUUUAACCCGUGAGUGGCGUAGCUAACGCGCUAAGUUGACCGCCUGGGGAGUACGGCCGCAAGGUUAAAACUCAAAUGAAUUGACGGGGGCCCGCACAAGCGGUGGA
rnacentral:rRNA from 1 species